AGUAAAUGGAUGCAUAUGCCCAUCAUGUCAAGCUCAUCCUAAACCCCAGCCUUGUGAAGGGGGUGCAAAUUUGAAUGAAGUCAACGCAGAGGGCAAUCUUGGGCCAUAGGCCCAAGCUGAAGGCUUCAACUCGCUGGCCCUAGCAUGAAGUUCCAAACAAACGACGCUUCAUCUUCGCGGCUUCUCUCACCUGCACCGUCGUCUUCGCCGCUCUCUUCUUCCAGUUGAAUCGAACCAAAGCCAUAAACCGUUUCGUCCCCGGAAUCAGCACGGGGCCAAGAACUCAUCUGAAGAACUGAAUCGAGAUGAACAAAGCGAAAACUCGUGGAUCCGAAAUCAACUCCAAGAAUCGCAUUACACGUUUAGCCUUCGAGUUUGCACCAACUCCAAAUGUGCAGCAACAAAAUGAAACAAGCCGUGCCAAGAAUCGAAUAUUAGAACGAAGCAAAUAACACGGAAAACUUACCAGAUUCAUAUCGUGACGUAAUCGCGAAACAGGUAUCACGAUUCCUCUUGACACACUUCUUCUUCUUCCUUGUGAGGUACCUUGCUGAUGCCGGUGCAGGGAAUCAAACUUGUGCCGAGCUUAGAGCUUGAUGAAAUUGGUGAAGAACAAGCUCAAGAUUCUGCUACGAUUAUGCAUAACGAUCAGUUGGAUGCAGAGGAUGAAGAUUGAUGUUGCAGAGAGAUUGUUGAAGGAAGCAGAGUGAAGAAGUUGUUGAGUUGAAUUCAGAUUACAGAGAAUUUGCAGAGUGAAAAAUGAUGUGUGUUGCAGAGUGAAGGUUCGAUCUGUUAUAUAGAGGAAUGAGAGGCUGCAACUGAAUCAGGCAAGCUUUGGACAGCUAGGUCAGUUAGUUGUUAACUUGAAUUGCAAAGGGAAUUAGUUACAGUUAUUUUGUUACCAAUCUGUUAGGGGAUUUCUGUUUGAGCCCUCUCAUUUCAAUUAAAAGAGGUGGAUGUUUGCUCUGUUCAAUGCCUGCUGCAGCCAUUUGCACCCGUGUACUGACUUAGCUUUGCAUUGAUACCUGGUGGGAGAUGCUACAAGUUGUUGUCUUGGCUGCAGAAUUUGUAGGAAUGUUAUGCAUUGAUGUUGACUAUAAUUAUACAUUUCUUGAACUGUUGAAUGCAAGGUUUGAGUUGUCAUGAACUUGAGAGGAUUGAAAUGUCAUGUUAUUAUGAAAUUGGUGUCAUAAUGGUUUUGGAGUCUGUUACAAACUGAACUUGCAAUUAGUUUACACAUAAAAGGAUGUCAUGGUUAAUUGUUAAUGCUUUGUUCUGAUCCAUUUUUGAUUUCUUAAGGUGACCCUGUUGCCAAUCAAAUGUUAAUAGAGCAUGUUGCUUCUAUGUUGAAAUGGUAAUGCUAUGAUUAAAUUCUAUGUUAUGAUAUACAUCAAUAUGUUGAUACCUAUUCCAAAAGCCAAAUGUUUGGAUUGUCAUGAAACUGGAUAGCAUCUAGGGCUGCUAGUAUAUGUUGUGGUGUGUAUGAAUGCAUGGAAACUUUGAUGUGUUUUUAAGUGUGUUCAUAUGGUUGUAUGUGGAUUGGUUUGUGCAUUGUUUAUGGAUUGAGUGCAGGGCUGUUUUGGACUGCUUAGAUUGAUGUUUAGAAUGGAGUUUGUUGCUUGAUGAUGGAAUGAUUUUGUUUGUUGUGUGGGCUGCCUUGACAAAGUGUGGCUCAAAGUGUGAUUGGUGGGCCUUGUGAUGUAUGCCAUGAAGUGUUAGCAAUAUGAAUAAAAUAUGUAGCAUGAAGGCAAGUAUAGAAUUAGGAUCUUUUCUUUGUAUGAACACAUGUAAUGAGCUGUGAUUCUAUGGAAUGGUAUGGACUUGUAAGCUUUGUACAAUGAAUAAUGGAAACAUGUUAUGUAUUA